rnacentral:rRNA from 1 species
UUCGCAAUGCCCGAAAGGGUGACGAAGCGACGCCGCGUGCGGGAAGAAGGCCUUCGGGUUGUAAACCGCUGUCGGGAGUUAAGAAAUGCAAGGGUGUUAACAGCGUCCUUGCUUGACUAAAGCUCCAGAGGAAGCCACGGCUAACUCUGUGCUAGCAGCCGCGGUAAUACAGAGGCGGCAAGCGUUGUUCGGAAUUAUUGGGCGUAAAGAGCACGUAGGCGGCUCUGCAAGUCAGCUGUGAAAGCCUUCUGCUUAACGGAAGAACGGCAGUUGAAACUACAGGGCUUGAGUGCGGGAGGGGAGAGUGGAACUUCUGGUGGCGCGGUGAAAUGCGUAGAUAUCAGAAGGAACGCCGGCGGCGAAAGCGGCUCUCUGGUCCGUAACUGACGCUGAGUGUGCGAAAGCUAGGGGAGCAAACGGGAUUAGAUACCCCGGUAGUCCUAGCCGUAAACGAUGGGCACUAAGUAGAGGGGUUUU